rnacentral:lncRNA from 1 species
AACCUAUUGAAUCUCACAACAUAUGUUUGGAUAGCACUUCCCAGCCUACAACGCACUUUCUCAGGGAUUCUCAAACUUCCUCCCACCUCACAUCCUUUUAAGGCAAGUGAGUGUGGGAACUCUGGUUCAGGGAAGUUAAAUCACUUGCCUAAGGUCAUGCAGAUCAUUAAUGCCAUAGCCAAGACCUGAGCACGUUCUCCUAAAGCCAGGUCAGGCCUCUUGUCACAUACUCCAUUGACUCUAGUGCCUAACCCAUGCUCAUCACAGAGCUCACAUUGGAACCAUUGUUAAACAGACUCUAAUGGAAAUGACUUCGUUCAGCUGGUGAACAUUUUGGAAGAUUCCAGAAAAACAUGAACAAGUGUUUGAGUGCUCUUAAGGGGAUUGUCUAAUAUCUUGGCUCCUGACUCAUCCUUAGAAGUCUUCCAGCCACCUUGUACCCAUUUCAAGCCCAAGGGCUCUUUAACGUAAAUGAGUUACUGAGCAGAAAAGAACAGAGAAAGAUCCAGUGCAAAAACUCAUAGGAAAUGAUCAAUUCAUGCCAAGUGAUGAGAACUAGAGAAGAGAGAUGAGAGCAUUGUUCAUACACGAUGGUCUAGGUCUCCUACCCCAAGAGAACUUGCAACAAAGCCCAAAGUACAACAGCCACGUUUAAAGAGAAGAUUCCAUUUCAGCCAGACAACAUGAUUCAUCAUAUUUAUUUAAUAUUGUUAAUUUGAAUUUUAUUAGAUCUGUACUGAUGUUUGUAUUUAAUUUCUAAUUUGUUUUGGUUUCAUAAUUCACUAAAACAAUAAGCACAAAGAGUUUCUAUCUGACUUUAUAUAUUAACAUUUUAAUAAAAGUCUUUUAUAUACUCA